rnacentral:rRNA from 1 species
GUGCCAGCAGCCGCGGUAAUACGGAGGGGGCUAGCGUUGUUCGGAAUCAUUGGGCGUAAAGGGCGCGUAGGCGGCCGAUCAAGUCGGAGGUGAAAUCCCUCGGCUCAACUGAGGAAUUGCCUUCGAUACUGUUCGGCUUGAGUCCUGGAGAGGGUAGCGGAAUUCCCGGUGUAGCGGUGAAAUGCGUAGAGACCGGGAAGAACACCAGUGGCGAAGGCGGCUACCUGGACAGGUACUGACGCUGAAGCGCGAAAGCUAGGGGAGCAAACAGGAUUAGAUACCCUGGUAGUCC